rnacentral:antisense_RNA from 1 species
UAUUUGUCCUCGUCCCUGCCAGUCUCGAAAAGGCACUCUGUCACGUGUACACAGGAAAGGGCCCUGACAAGAGGAUGGGACUGCAGUUGUGGCUGCCAGGGCCCCGGCCAGGGUGAAAACAAGGAACAUUCCAGAGAAGAUCACAAGGAUGCGAAUAAAAUCGGAGCUGCACAGGGAUCUUUGGGCUGUAAUAGGAGGGGACACACAGGGGUUAGGGGAGGGUCUAGCCCUUGGCUCCCUCAGCCCAGCCCUCCUGUCACCUUGCCUCUCCCCUUCCCCCACCUUAUUCUAUCCCACCCGCCACCGUUGGCCAACUCCUCUCCUAAACAGUGGACUCUGCUUUUUCCCCUCCUCUUAUCCCUAAUCCUAGGAGCUUUCUGUCUGGCUUCCCUCCUGGCCCCUCAUGUAUGCAUUCUCUCUAGCGGUGGGGAUUAAGGAGAAAACUCACGUGGCCAGUGGGUAGAGAGAGUCCGGGCAGGCAGCUGCCUGAAGUCAGCCAGAGUCUGCAUGUGCCCAGCUGUCCUGGCCUCCAGCAUCUCUGGAAAAACAGAGACAGAAUGAGUAGCAGCAGGGAACCCCAUAGGGCACAUCUGAAGGCCUGAGAGGUGCUGGAUGGGAUGGGAAGGCAGAAACAGGCUGACCUUAUCUAGUGGUAGGAGUGGGGAGUACUGGUUGGGGUAUCACCGCUACCCCACGUGAUGGCACAGAGAGUUGCCUAGAACUUACCACUGACAUAAGGUUGGAGUGCAGUGGCACGAUCUUGGCUCACUGCAACCUCCGCCUCCUGAGUUCAAGUGAUUCUCCUGCCUCAGCCUCCCUAGUAGCUGGGAUUACAGGACAAGGAGAGGGACAAAUUCCUUCUUGGCAUCCUUAUGGCCCUGUGACCUGCUAAUGAAUGCUGACCCUGAGUUGCUACUAGAAUUUGGUUUCCUUGUGGCUUCCCAGGAAUUGGUCUCACUCUGCUCACUCUGUCUCCCAAGCUGGAGUGCAGUGGUACAGUCACGGCUCACUGCAGCCUCCACUUCCUGGACUCAAGUGAUCUUCUCACUUCAGCCUUCUGAGUAGCUGGGACUACAGCCCCCUCUGCAGCUCUUCAUGGGGGUCCACUCAAGUCAGAAGCCACAUCUGGGUGUGAUUCAGAGAGCUGUUUAUGCAAAACUACCCUUGUCACCAUCAGGCAAGGCACCUGAAUUCCCACCGCAGAGAGUGCUGUGGCCCUGAGGACUUUUCUGUCACCAGCCAUUUCCAGGUAGACCCAGUGUAAUCACAAGCAUCCUUGUAAGUGGCAAAGAGGCAGAGGAGACAGCGCCAGAGAGGCAGCUGCAUGAGAAGGAUCAAGAUGUUGCUGACUUUGAAGUUGGAAGAAGAAGGCCAUGAGCCUCAGUAUGUGGGCGGCUUCUAGAAGCUGGAAGGGGCAAGGAGAUGGAUUUGACCCUUCAGCCUCCAGGGGCAGCUGUACCUGCCAUCACUGAUUGUAGCCUGGUGAGGCCUGUUUUAGACUUCUGACCUGUAGAGCUGUAACAUAAUACAUUUGGUUUGUUUUCAACCACUAAGUUUGUGGUAAUUUGUUGUAGCAGCUGUAGAAAAUGAAUACAUAUGAAUCCUCUGGCAUUUGUUUGAGAUUUGCUCUAUGGCCUAGUAUGUGGUUGUAAAUGUUCCAUCUGUGCCUGAAAAAAUGUAUAUUUCUAAUUCAGUAGUCUCUGCUUUUUUUUUUAUUUUGUACCCCAUCAAUAAAAUGAUUUUCAGCAUGUAUCCCCAAAUAAA